UAAGUCCAAUCUUCUAAAUCAAUAGUCAGUUCCAAAUUUACUCUGAUUUUUUUUGGUGACUUUUAACCUACUCUGAUUAAACCCAAACAAAUUUAACUCCAAACAAAAAUCUAACAAAAAAAUUGGAAGAGAAAGAAGAGUGAGAAUGAAACCCUAGCAGAUCUACUCGCCGCCGCAGUAUUCAUCUCUUCGCCAUUGUCACCAUCAAGCUCGCCGUAGCGUCUAAGAUCAGAGGGAGAGUAACCGGCGACGCCCGCGACGCCAUCCUUGCCGAGGUCCAGGAGCAGGUUUCCAUUCUUAACUCCAGUUUCUCAUGGAAGGAGUCAGAUCGAGCCGCCGCCAAGCGCGCCACUCAUGCGCUCGCCGUUCUUGCCAAAACGAUCCUUCGGUGGUUGUGUCUUGUAGAGGAAGUGGUGAACGUGAAUGUCGAAGAAGGAGCUAUUCCUUCGGCGCGUCUCCUGAGAUCACGACACGGCAUAUGGAUAAGCAGAAUGAGAUCCUUAUGGAAGCCUACAGAUCAAUGCUCCAUGAAUCGCAAAAACUUCAGGUCGAAGAAGAAAUGCUUAUGCAUAAGCUCUAUGAUGUUAUGUAAGCUCAUGGUCUAACUAAAAAGGUAUCUUGAUCACUCAUCUCAUCUCAUCUCUUCCAUAAGAAUCUCAUUCUGCUUAUCCUCUCCCCUGAAGAAUGCAAGGUUAGGUUCCUUUUUCAGAUUCUCUUGUUCGCUUCUUCCCUUCCCUUCCCUUGAUUUAUUCCAUUGUCAGGAGCUGGAAUUCAUACACAAGAGUAGCAACACUAAUUCAUCAAUUGCUUGUUGGUUGUUACUUCUUUUAAAAUCUUUACCUUAUUGUAUUUAUGAAUCAUCAAACAGUUGGAGCAGAGGUGCAAGCAUUGGGUGUCAUAGUAAUGAUAACAGACCCUACCUCAAACAGCGACACUUUGCAGUCAGGAUUCCACUUUCCAUUACUCAUCUCUUUUGUUGAAUUUUAUUUAAUACUGUUGCUGACAAUUUUGGUUCAUCAAAGGUGGUGUGCUAUUUAAAUAAUUAUGGCAAGGAUUUCAAUGGUGGACUCUUUCGUUUCUAGGAUGGCCAGUCAAUGUCAAUUAUGCCAAUGGCUGGAGUUGCAAAUUUUGGGCUAACUAAACUUAGGGAAGUUGGAAGCUCUUUAUCACUUCAUACUCGUCUUGUGGGAACAUUUGGAUACAUGCCUCCAGUUGGAUCAGAAUGCUUCAACCAACUAAAGGUUGUUACGGCCGCAGCACCACAAUACUUCUGGCAAUCAAAUAAAAAAAAACAAACUACAAGAAGUCAUGGUUGGAUUAGCAGCAAAUGUUUUCACAUUCAUGUCCUCUCAAUGAAUCAAGCUAUGUAUUUCAAGAAGCUGGAAAAUAGGUGAAGUAAUACUUCACUUUUGAACCAUAUUGUAAAAUCAGUAAUCCAUGUUAACCUUGAGCAAAAAUUGUAAAUUUGUAACACUGUACACUGUUGUUUGUUUUGUGUAAAUGUGUAUUAUCCCACAUUAAUUUUGA